rnacentral:lncRNA from 1 species
CUAUGCCUUGCCAAAUCUUUUGUGAAAUUCUCAAAUCUUAUUGUAUGAUCAUGAAAUUUCAUAUGUGAUAACUAGACAUCUCAAGCUUUGCAUUGGUGCUAAUCUCAUUCAUUUCUCUUCUGUUUUCAAAUUGAUAUGAUUUUUUGAAGUUGACCCAUGCUUGUUGACUUUCACCAUGCUUACUUGAACUUGGCUUGACUUCAUGAUUUUAAUUGACUGCCUUCCUCUCAUCCAAAUGCCAUGAAAUUUUGACAUGUGUUCCAUGUUAGAUGUUAGGAUUGAGUGUGAUUUAUUUCAUGAUUUUUGAAAAUGUUUGAGUUGACUUUUGAAUGAAGUCUUUGCUGUUGACUUUUGUAUGCUUCCUUUGCUAUGCUUUGCAUUCUUUGGCAUAUGAAAUGACCAUGAUGCAUGAUAUAAUUAUGAAUCCAAUUGAGAAUGCUUCUUGAAUGUUCAAACUUGGUUUGG